rnacentral:tRNA from 1 species
AAAUUUAGGAUACUUUAAACCAAGGGCCUUCAAAGCCCUAAAAAAGAGAUCACCCCUCUUAAUUUCU